rnacentral:rRNA from 1 species
CCUAGAGUUUGAUCCUGGCUCAGGACGAACGCUGGCGGCGUGCUUAACACAUGCAAGUCGAACGGAAAGGCCCUUUCGGGGGUGCUCGAGUGGCGAACGGGUGAGUAACACGUGGGUGAUCUGCCCUGCACUCUGGGAUAAGCCUGGGAAACUGGGUCUAAUACCGGAUAGGACCAUAUGCCGCAUGGUGUGUGGUGGAAAGCUUUUGCGGUGUGGGAUGGGCCCGCGGCCUAUCAGCUUGUUGGUGGGGUUAUGGCCUACCAAGGCGACGACGGGUAGCCGGCCUGAGAGGGUGUCCGGCCACACUGGGACUGAGAUACGGCCCAGACUCCUACGGGAGGCAGCAGUGGGGAAUAUUGCACAAUGGGCGGAAGCCUGAUGCAGCGACGCCGCGUGGGGGAUGACGGCCUUCGGGUUGUAAACCUCUUUCAGCCUCGACGAAGCGCAAGUGACGGUAGGGGCAGAAGAAGCACCGGCCAACUACGUGCCAGCAGCCGCGGUAAUACGUAGGGUGCGAGCGUUGUCCGGAAUUACUGGGCGUAAAGAGCUCGUAGGUGGUUUGUCGCGUCGUCCGUGAAAUCCCAUGGCUUAACUGUGGGCGUGCGGGCGAUACGGGCAGACUUGAGUACUGCAGGGGAGACUGGAAUUCCUGGUGUAGCGGUGGAAUGCGCAGAUAUCAGGAGGAACACCGGUGGCGAAGGCGGGUCUCUGGGCAGUAACUGACGCUGAGGAGCGAAAGCGUGGGGAGCGAACAGGAUUAGAUACCCUGGUAGUCCACGCCGUAAACGGUGGGUACUAGGUGUGGGUUUCCUUCCUUGGGAUCCGUGCCGUAGCUAACGCAUUAAGUACCCCGCCUGGGGAGUACGGCCGCAAGGCUAAAACUCAAAGGAAUUGACGGGGGCCCGCACAAGCGGCGGAGCAUGUGGAUUAAUUCGAUGCAACGCGAAGAACCUUACCUGGGUUUGACAUGCACAG